UAGGACGUAGUAUAAAAAUUAUACUUCAUUUACACUGAAGGGGUGGUAGGUUGUUCUGCCCGUUCUAA
rnacentral:tRNA from 1 species